ensembl:lncRNA
CGACGUUGAAUUGCAUUGAACGAUGAAAUACAAUUGUAUUCAACAACAUUGUGGAUUGAAGAGAGGCCGUGAGAGGAAACUUCCCUGAUUCAAGAGCUCAUUUCUGUCCGGAGAAGAAUUCAAUGCAAUUCAAUAAACGACUGUGCAACGGAGUGGGAGUCUGCGUCCGGGUUGAACAUGGCGGGAUGGUGACUGACGGUGCCAUGGAUGCCAGCAUGCAACAGCAGGGUGUCCCAAACAGCGGUGUCGGCAUCAACCACCCAGCUUCUAACAUGGUCUAUGCAGUCCAAGGCAGCCAAUGUUGUAAUCGGUGCCUGGCAGGGGAGCCCGGCCACAUUAACCACAUCAUGGGGUAUUGAUCGGUUAUCGUCAUGAUCAGAGAUCGUUUGAAGAACUGAAGGAUCCUUGAGGAUGAAGAGAAUGAUCGAUUGAUUGAGUGCUUGAUCAAGUCAUUGUGUAUGUGGCUGUGAACCGUUUUAUCAGUGUGCCUUGCCUUUUCUAGCUGUUAUUAACCACAAGCACUGUACUGCUUCAUGUAUAGCCUCGCAUGUUUACACUACCUAACACUGGGUAUGGGGGAAAUGGCUACUAACCAGACAGUAGACAUGGUGAUUUCAUACCGUCUUACUAACAUUCUGUUUGAAUGGAAAGAUAACCACUACAGUGUAGUCUACACACAACCAUAAGGAAGGAGCCAUCAAGCCACAAGUAAUACUGAAACUUUACACUGUAAUGUGGAUACUCCUUUAAUGUCAAUGGAUGUAUUAAAUGAAAUAAAAUACGUAUUGUCCCAGUAUCAAGACUGCUUUCUAAAGCUGCCAGAAAAUAUAAAUGUAAAUAGUAAUAUUGAUAAGUUAAAAACUUUUUAAAGUUAUAUAAUUGUUAACCUUUUUUUGAAAUGGAUAAUCCUGUCUGCAAAUAUAUUUUUCUGAAAUAAAUAUUUGAUAUAUUUUUCUAAAAUGUAAUUGGCUGAAUAUAAAAUAAGAAGUUUGUAACCAAUAUUUGUGCUAAUCGUUUCAUUUUGGAUAGUGUCCUGAAUUGUGUUUAAUCUCAUGAACGUUUUCAGCCAGUUUUCAAUAGUUUGAUCUACACUUGAAAUGUAGAGCCGUUUUGACAAGGAUUUGUCUGUUUCCCACUAGAUGUGGUUUUGUGUCGUCUUAGAAUGAUUUGAAGCCAGUUUCCACCUUGCCAAGCAGUGAGUUUUAUAGUUGAUGCUGUUCAAUUUCAGGUUAUGACUCAAUGUAAUAGUUUUAUUUUUAGUACAAGGAAAAACAACUUUCAAUAAAGUAUGAUUUGAUGAACAA